rnacentral:lncRNA from 1 species
AUUAAUUUCAUUUGAUUUAUGUUCAUGAUAUUCCGUGCCUCAAUCAAUCAUACUUUCAAUUUAAAUCAUGCAUGUAUUUCAUUCAUGAAAAUGUGAUUGACUGCAUUAGAAUUAGUUGAUCAAUCCUAACCAGAUGAUGAUUAAUGGACGUAAUAAUUCAAAGGUGCAUGCUUAAUUUAGAUCCUAGCUUGAUUAAAUUAAAUGUUCGUAAUAACUCGAGAGAUCUCUAUUACCUUGCAUAACUUUUAGAUUUGUGUGAUUAAAUUGUUUCAAACCUAAUCCAUCC